ACUCCUACGGGAGGCAGCAGUGGGGAAUAUUGGACAAUGGGCGCAAGCCUGAUCCAGCCAUGCCGCGUGAGUGAAGAAGGCCUUCGGGUUGUAAAGCUCUUUCGGCCGGGAAGAAAUCGUGUUCUCUAACAUAGGGCAUGGAUGACGGUACCGGACUAAGAAGCACCGGCUAACUACGUGCCAGCAGCCGCGGUAAU
rnacentral:rRNA from 1 species